AUGAACGCUGGCGGCGCGCCUAACACAUGCCGGUCGAACGGCACCCCUCCUCGGAGGGCAGCGAGUGGCGAACGGCUGAGUAACACGUGGAGAACCUGCCCCCUCCCCCGGGAUAGCCGCCCGAAAGGACGGGUAAUACCGGAUACCCCGGGGUGCCGCAUGGCACCCCGGCUAAAGCCCCGACGGGAGGGGAUGGCUCCGCGGCCCAUCAGGUAGACGGCGGGGUGACGGCCCACCGUGCCGACAACGGGUAGCCGGGUUGAGAGACCGACCGGCCAGAUUGGGACUGAGACACGGCCCAGACUCCUACGGGAGGCAGCAGUGGGGAAUCUUGCGCAAUGGGGGGAACCCUGACGCAGCGACGCCGCGUGCGGGACGGAGGCCUUCGGGUCGUAAACCGCUUUCAGCAGGGAAGAGUCAAGACUGUACCUGCAGAAGAAGCCCCGGCUAACUACGUG
rnacentral:rRNA from 1 species